rnacentral:rRNA from 1 species
GGCUGGACUAUUUUAUUACCCUUGUCUUUUGCGCACUUGUUGUUUCCUGGGCGGGUUCGCUCGCCACCAGGACCACAAUAUAAACCUUUUUUAUGCAGUUGCAAUCAGCGUCAGUAUAACAAAUGUAAAUCAUUUACAACUUUCAACAACGGAUCUCUUGGUUCUGGCAUCGAUGAAGAACGCAGCGAAAUGCGAUACGUAGUGUGAAUUGCAGAAUUCAGUGAAUCAUCGAAUCUUUGAACGCACAUUGCGCCCUUUGGUAUUCCAAAGGGCAUGCCUGUUCGAGCGUCAUUUGUACCCUCAAGCUUUGCUUGGUGUUGGGCGUUUUUUUUUGUCUUUGGUUUGCCCAAAGACUCGCCUUAAAAUGAUUGGCAGCCGGCCUCCUGGUUUCGCAGCGCAGCACAUUUUUGCGCUUGCAAUCAGCAAAAGAGGACGGCAAUCCAUCAAGACUCCUUCUCACGUUUGACCUCGGAUCAGGUAGGGAUACCCGCUGAACUUAAGCAUAUCAAUA